rnacentral:rRNA from 5 species
AAAUUGAAGAGUUUGAUCAUGGCUCAGAUUGAACGCUGGCGGCAGGCCUAACACAUGCAAGUCGAACGGUAACAGGAAGCAGCUUGCUGCUUUGCUGACGAGUGGCGGACGGGUGAGUAAUGUCUGGGAAACUGCCUGAUGGAGGGGGAUAACUACUGGAAACGGUGGCUAAUACCGCAUAACGUCGCAAGACCAAAGAGGGGGACCUUCGG